AAUUUAAUUAAUUAGUCAAAUUUCACUAAGUCAUGUUUCAAUCUACUUGCAUUCUAACUAGCUUCACUCUUGUAUUAUUUCAGUAAACAAGAUUUAAAAUUUUAUUGUAAAUUUUACAGACAUUUAACUGACUUAGAAUGAAUUUCCUGUUUUUUAAACAUGUAGCCUGGAGAUAUUUUGAUCACAUAUAGUACAGAUAUUGGAUGGACACCAUAUUUUCCUCUACUUUCAGGAGUUGUGACAGAACUAGGAGGCUUAAUAUCACAUGGUGCUGUUGUUGCUCGUGAGUAUGGUCUGCCUUGCAUCGUAGGGGCUAAGGGAGCAGUAUAUUGCUUUAAAUCAGGUCAAAGGUAACAAACAUGUACAGUAUAGUUACAAACGAAAAACUGUUAGAAUGGAUAGAAAAGGUGAAGAAGGCUGAUAAUGAAUGAUGAGAAGUUCCCUGAGACAAGUUCUACUGACGAAUUCUGUCUUGUGCAUUCCGAACUGUAUUCCAACUCAAAGUCGCGAGAAAAAUGGUUGCAGUGCAUGGUUUAUUUAAACUGAUCACACGAAGUGUGUACUGAAGGAAAUGCAACUUACAUACGCCUUGGAUAACUUGACUGUGAUGAUGAUAGAUGAUUUUAAUGUUCAAUCAUUUAUAUAUCAUCAUCACAGUCAAGUACCCAAGGAAAAUAACAAUCUGCCCCGAUAUGGGGAAAGUUGUUACAUUCUUCAUCGCUUUGUUUAUUUUUGUUUUUCUACAACUUCUUAUACUUUGGAGACAUAAAAAAUGUUCAUAAUUUCUUUAACUGAAAUUUUAUUCACAAAAAUUCUAAAUGCGACCAGCCCGCCUGUUCUACUUAAUUUUUUGGUAUGACUGACAGAAAAUGAUUUUUCCAUCCAUAGUAGUAUGCGAAUUCCCUUGUCUGUAAUCGCAUGAAAUGGAAUCAGCAGGACACCGAAUAAAACUGUCUGAAGUAUGAUAGUUGAUGUAUUUAAAUUGUUUAAAUAUAAAAGAUAAAUUUGAAUAAACCCAGACCUGAAUAAACGGUUGCACAAUUUUUAACAAUCUAAUUAUACUGUAAAAAAUUCAAAUAUUAAAGGAAUACAUAAACUCAAACUUUGAUUGGUAGUUUAAAUCUUGUUUGAUAGUAACAACUCUGCCAAUCAGUCGCCUAAAUGCUGUUGACAUGCUAGAAAAAACGAAGGAGAUGGAGAAAUAUAUAGUAAACACUAAAAUAUGGGGAAAAUAUGUUACCUAAAAUUAGCAUAAUUGACUUCAGACCUAGACGGGAAAUAUCGAAGUUUGACUUCCCUGCAUAUCAGCAAGAAAAACACG